rnacentral:lncRNA from 1 species
GAGGAGUUUGAGAUUUUGGCCCAUCAAUUUGAAAAAGAUACUAUGUAAUCAAUUGAUAAAUCUUAUAUUAUCUAAGUAGAUGCAAGAUUAUGUUUCUUGAUUCAAGUCUAUAUGUCUCCAAAUUGGUAAUAUUUUGGAGGUAGAGAUGAUAGAUAAAUUUCUGUGAGGUUUGAAACUUAGAGUUUAGCAAGAGGUGGAACUAAAGGAUUGACAAAUGUUUAAAGAGGCAAUUUAGAUUAUAGAGAGGGUGAAUAUUAUAGAUUUCAAAAAUUGUGGAGUAUGAGUUAUAGUACAAAGUCCUA